CCUACGGGGUGCAGCAGUGAGGAAUAUUGGUCAAUGGGCGGGAGCCUGAAUCAGCCAAGUCGCGUGAGGGAAGACGGUCCUACGGAUUGUAAACCUCUUUUGCCGGGGAGCAACGGGGUCCUUGCGAGGGCCCAAUGAGAGUACCCGGAGAAAAAGCAUCGGCUAACUCCGUGCCAGCAGCCGCGGUAAUACGGAGGAUGCGAGCGUUAUCCGGAUUUCUUGGGUUUAAGGGGUGCGCAGGCGGUCUGUUAAGUCAGCGGUCAAAGCCCGGGGCUCAACCCCGGCCCGCCGUUGAAACUGGCAGUCUCGAGUUGGAGAGAAGUAUGCGGAAUGCGCGGUGUAGCGGUGAAAUGCAUAGAUAUCGCGCAGAACUCCGAUUGCGAAGGCAGCAUGCCGGCUCCACACUGACGCUGAGGCACGAAAGCGUGGGUAUCGAACAGGAUUAGAUACCCCUGUAGUC
rnacentral:rRNA from 1 species